AUUGAACGCUGGCGGCAGGCCUAACACAUGCAAGUCGAACGGUAACAGGAAGAAGCUUGCUUCUUUGCUGACGAGUGGCGGACGGGUGAGUAAUGUCUGGGAAACUGUCUGAUGGAGGGGGAUAACUACUGGAAACGGUAGCUAAUACCGCAUAACGUCGCAAGACCAAAGAGGGGGACCUUCGGGCCUCUUGCCAUCGGAUGUGCCCAGAUGGGAUUAGCUAGUAGGUGGGGUAACGGCUCACCUAGGCGACGAUCCCUAGCUGGUCUGAGAGGAUGACCAGCCACACUGGAACUGAGACACGGUCCAGACUCCUACGGGAGGCAGCAGUGGGGAAUAUUGCACAAUGGGCGCAAGCCUGAUGCAGCCAUGCCGCGUGUAUGAAGAAGGCCUUCGGGUUGUAAAGUACUUUCAGCGGGGAGGAAGGGAGUAAAGUUAAUACCUUUGCUCAUUGACGUUACCCGCAGAAGAAGCACCGGCUAACUCCGUG
rnacentral:rRNA from 1 species